AAAUUGAAGAGUUUGAUCAUGGCUCAGAUUGAACGCUGGCGGCAGGCCUAACACAUGCAAGUCGAACGGUAACAGGAAACAGCUUGCUGUUUCGCUGACGAGUGGCGGACGGGUGAGUAAUGUCUGGGAAACUGCCUGAUGGAGGGGGAUAACUACUGGAAACGGUAGCUAAUACCGCAUAAUGUCGCAAGACUAAAGAGGGGGACCUUCGGGCCUCUUGCCAUCGGAUGUGCCCAGAUGGGAUUAGCUAGUAGGUGGGGUAACGGCUCACCUAGGCGACGAU
rnacentral:rRNA from 2 species